UGUAAACAAACAACAGUCUAUUUUGACGUGGGAAAUAAAUUAAGCACAACCAAGAGAAAAGAUAAUAAAAACAGGAAGAUUUAUUUGUAGACUUGGUGCGUCCGAGUGGACUCGAACCACCGACCCCCACCA
rnacentral:antisense_RNA from 1 species